CAUCAUUUCUAGUGAGAAGUCCAUCUCCACCUGUGGCUCUUAAGGAGCGUGAGAAGCUUAAUCUCAUGGCCUUCCCUCCUAAGCUGGUGGUGGAGCAGUUUACCAUGAUGGAUGCGGAGCUCUUCCAGAAGGUGGUGUCCUCUCCGUGUCUGGGCUCCACCUGGGGCAAGAGGAACAAGCCCGGCAAUGAGCACCAGACACCCAACGUCCAGGCCACCGUCGACCACGUCAGAAGGGUGGCCAGCUUCGUCAUCAUCCGCUGCCUCGGGGACCCGAGCAAGACAGCCCAGGACAGGGAGUUCGAGAUCCUGAAGAACUUCUUCUCGUCCUGCACUGUCAACUCUGCUCUGCAGAAAACCUUCACAAGCCACCUGAAGAACACACGGGGGAAGUUUCCCGCCAGGACCCUGCUGCUCCUUCUAUCUUCACCACAUCUCCAAGGGGCUGCAUCCUGCCUGCCCCAGGGAUGUGCGUGGCAGAGGAUUCCCAUGGCCCAGGUGGAAAAACAGGCUGCUCAUCCUCAGGAGGGGCCCUCCACGUUUGCUCCCCCAGAGAGCAACCCCCAGAGAGUGCAGGAGAAGCAGCAGCAGCGGCAGGGGAAUGGGAUCAACCUUGAGAAGAGUACUGAGGAGCAGCUGUGGCACUCCCUGCAGGGGAGAGGAAGGAGGUGGAAAUCAGAGACCUUCUGGGCAGAACAGUCCUUGGCUUCACCCGCUGUAUCUUACAUUGAGUGGAAGAGUUUGAUACCAGAGAAGUGGGAGACCCAUCCAAUUGGCGGCUACACCUUGUCCUGCCAGCCAGAGCGCUAGACCUAGUUGGCCUGCAGAGUACGCAAGGCCAAGAAGAACCGGCCAUCAUCAAGGUCAGGGGUUCAUCUUGGCUGAAAUCAUCCCAAGUGUUUUGUUUUCUGUCCAGCUUGCCUCCCUCAACACGAGGUUGAUGAGACUCACCCAGCAUGUGUGUGUCAGCGUUUGCUCCUUGGCAUGGCUGAGGGCGUUCUGCUCUGUGGUUGCCCUACAGUGCGCUCGUCUUGCAGGUCAUCUCCUGUGAACAUUCUUGUACAAACGCUUUUUUUUGCUUCUUAAUUCCUUUAUUAGCAUUUAAGUGACACACCUUUGCAUUUUUUAGUGGUUGGUCCAGAUUACAAUAUGCAUCUUUAACAUAUCACUGCCUACCUAGACUUAAUAGUGCACCAGUUUAAUCAAUGUAAAAUAUGGAAGCCUUGCUACAGAACAGUUCCAUUUACCUAUGUCUGUCCAUUAUGUUAUUGUUGUCAUAAAUUUUACAUCUACCCAUGUUGUAAAUCCCACAAUACAAUGUUAUAAUUUUUGCUUUAAA